rnacentral:lncRNA from 1 species
GGAAUAGGACAGUCCUAGAUUCCAGUCCUGGAUUCACCACUUAAACUGUGGGUCUUGAGUAAGCUACUUAAUAUCCCAGAAUCACAAUUUCGCUUUCCAUAAAACAAGACUAAUAAAACCUAUCUCACAGGUAUGUUGUAAGAAGUGUCAUGAUUCUGUGAUUAUGUAAAGGGCCCAGUACAGUGGCUGACAUAAAGUAAAUACUCUACAGCUGUUGUUAGUUCUGUUCCCUGAUACAU